rnacentral:tRNA from 1 species
ACUUUUAAUGGACAUUAGCAGUCCAAUG